rnacentral:rRNA from 1 species
UACGGAGGGUGCAAGCGUUAUCCGGAUUCACUGGGCUUAAAGGGAGCGUAGGCGGUGUGGUAAGUCAGUGGUGAAAUCUCCGGGCUUAACUCGGAAACUGCCGUUGAUACUAUCAUUCUUGAAUAUUGUGGAGGUAAGCGGAAUAUGUCAUGUAGCGGUGAAAUGCUUAGAUAUGACAUAGAACACCGAUGGCGAAGGCAGCUUGCUACACAAUUAUUGACACUGAGGCUCGAAAGCGUGGGGAGCAAACAGG